AUGGGUGCGAGUGUUCAGGGUGAAAGGCCUGCACACAGGCACGUGGUGCUUCACAGGGACUUGGGCAGGAAAGGAGGAUUGGGGAAAAGAUCUAGUGUGGCCCAGAAAGUUACUCAAUAUCAGGUGGACAUAACCAGUAAAGUGCAGAACAUAGUCAUCCUGAACUGUCAGUAUGAAACAAGUUGGAACGUGUACACCUACUGGAUAUUUUGGUACAAGCAGCUUCCCAGGGGAGAGAUGACUUACCUCAUUCAUCAGUAUUCAGAAGAUGGGAAUGAAAAAGACGGCCACUACUCUGUAAACUUUCAGAAAGCACAUAAAUUCAUCAGCCUCACCAUUUCAUCCUUAAAGCUGGAACAUUCUGGAAAAUACUUAUGUGCUCUCUGGGAACGCACAGUGCUUGAAUAG